rnacentral:rRNA from 1 species
UACGUAGGGGGCAAGCGUUGUCCGGAAUUAUUGGGCGUAAAGAGCGCGUAGGCGGUCCGAUAAGUCGGCUGGGAAAGUCAGGGGCUCAACCCUUGAAAGCCGGCCGAUACUGUCGGACUAGAGUCCGGAAGAGGCAAGUGGAAUUCCCGGUGUAGCGGUGAAAUGCGCAGAUAUCGGGAGGAACACCAAUGGCGAAGGCAGCUCGCUGGGACGGUACUGACGCUGAGGCGCGAAAGCGUGGGGAGCGAACAGG